AAAAGGAAGAAACAAAGAAGAAUGGCGAACAGACAUAGGAAUCAAUUACACAUAUGAUGAUACUGGCUAUUGUUGUUUCGUACUUGUGGUAGUUGUUUGUUCUUGUCUUUGUCGUUUUCGUU
rnacentral:ribozyme from 16 species